GGACCUCACGGAAGGGACGGACUGAAUGACCCACAAUUCUCCUGGGUCCGGAGGGCGACCUCGCCUGGGAGUUGAGUGAGUGGGGUCUCUGCGCUAGGGUGGUCGCGAGUGCCAGUGUCACUUGCCGCGGCUUCGGAGUCCACGAGCGCUCAGGUGCGCUCCCCAGAGGCCCGCGUGGCAGCGGCGGUGUUUGAUUUUUCACAACGAUUUUUUUUUUCCUUUCCAAAUCCUCUUACUGGUCUAUUCAGACAUUUCCGUUAAUGCAGCUACGCUUUUGCAGCAUUCGCACGCCCUCUCCGCUAUGGGAAUUGUCAGCCUGAGUUCUCGGUUGCCGCUAACCUUAUGGAAGUAGUAAUGACCCCUUCUUGAGUCCACUGUCCUCUGUAAAGUGAGAGGCGUUGGGAUAUUUAACAACCAAGAUUUCUUCCCAGGUUUGAGAUUUGGGUUAUUAUUCUGAUGUGUCUGAUUUCUCGAUUAUAUAUCUCUGUGUUGGUUUGUCUCAUAGAGUCUCGUUUCAUUGUUCUGUGCCCUUGUCAAAUCUGCUUCACAGCUCAUUUAAAAAUGAUUUAAGUAAGAUGGGCAUAGUAGUGCACAUCUUUAAUCCCAGCGCUUGGGAGGCAGAGGCAGGUGGAUCUAUAAGUUCGAGUCCCUCUUGGUCUACAUAGUGAGUUCCAGGACAGCCAAGGCUACAUAGUGAGACCCUGUCUUAAAAAAAAAAAAAAAAAAAAAAAAAAAGGUUUAAGGAAUCCUAUGCUUUCUGAGCACUUCCUUUUACUCCCUUGCAUGAUUAAAGCAAUGCAUUCUCUCUUUCUUCUCUGUCUCCCUGCCCCUUCACUCCAUCUCCUUCCUCCUCCUCCUCUUUCUUCUCUUAUCUUUUGCAUUUUCUUUUGAAAGGUGGUUUCCCUGAUAUACCUAGCCUGGCCUUGAGCUCCCUAUGUAGCUAAGACUGAAGACUGGCUUUGAACUUGGCAUCCUCCAGCCUUUGCCUAGAGUUGCCUGUGCCAGCAGGCCUGGCUUGAAUUUCUAAAUCUUAGUUCAUUUACUUGGAAUGAAGUCAGAAUUUCUUUUGAUCCUUUCCUUCUUGAAUGAGUCUUUUAAGGUAAAAUACUAACUAUUAAACACCCACAAAGCCUCAGAAUUAUCUAUAAAUGAGGGAGAUGGUGGCUUGUGAAUGUUUGUAACAUUCAUGUUGUGAAUCUUCAGAGAAAGUAAGUCAUCAGUGAGAAACAAUACAUUUAUCAUCUCAUUUUUUUCUUUGUAACCUUGUUAUAGAAAGGCUACAAAGAAACACUUCUUUCUUUUUUCAGAACUCAGGAAAAUGAGACUCAUAGGACAAGAGUGACUGGUCUGUAAGAGGUGUCAAGUCAAGGCCUUUUGUUACUGCAUCAGGUCCUUUCUCUACUACUUUACUGUGUCACUUUCAGCUCUAGAUUUUUUUCCUUUUAUUGGUAUUUUUUUCUGUGUCUGUAUGGUGUGUGUUAUGUGUAUAUAUGGGCAAAUCAUGUACAAGGCAUGGGCUACAGGGAGAGGUUUGAGAACAGUUUUGGGGAGUUGAACCUUUCCUUCCAUCUUCUCAUGGAUUCUGGAGAUUGAACCCAGGUUGUCAAGCUUAAAAACACUUUUUCCUGCUGAGCCUUCUCCUAGACUGUGUGGUGUAUUUUCAUUUUUUUAUUUGUUUGUUUGUUUGUUUUUGAAACAAGGUCCAUGAAGCUUAGGUUGGCCCCAAACUUACUAUGUAACCAAAGUUGGCCUUGUACUUCUGACCUUCAUUCCUCCACUUCCCAGAUGGUAGGAUUACAGUCACCUAUACCAUACUUGGCUGUCGUUUAUUUCCUUUAAAAACAAAUCAGCUAGGUGGUAGUGGCACACUUAUAAUGCCAGCAUUCAGAAGGCAGAAGCAGGCAAAUCUCUGAGUUUGAGGCCUGCUUGGUUCUAGAACUGAUAGAACUACACAGAGAAACCCUGUCUGAAAGAAAGAAAGAAAGAAAGAAAGAAAGAAAGAAAGAAACCAAAAACACUGCUGGGAAGGCCUGGUGACAUGGGUCUCAUGGCAGAACCUAGGAGGUGGAAGCAAAGGCAUCAUGAGCUCCGGGCCAGUGUAGCAACACAGUGCAGUCAGUGCUCUUAACCACUGAGCCAUCUCUGCGGCCCCAGUAUCCCAUCCUUUCUUUGGCCUAUGCAGCACCAGGACUGCACUUGGUGCAUAUACUUAACAUGCUUGCAAAUACUAAUGCACAUAAAAAAAAAAUAAUCUUAUUUUUAAU
rnacentral:lncRNA from 1 species